GGCCCGCGGCCUAUCAGCUUGUUGGUGGGGUAAUGGCCUACCAAGGCGACGACGGGUAGCCGGCCUGAGAGGGCGACCGGCCACACUGGGACUGAGACACGGCCCAGACUCCUACGGGAGGCAGCAGUGGGGAAUAUUGCACAAUGGGCGAAAGCCUGAUGCAGCGACGCCGCGUGAGGGAUGACGGCCUUCGGGUUGUAAACCUCUUUCAGCAGGGACGAAGCGAGAGUGACGGUACCUGCAGAAGAAGCACCGGCCAACUACGUGCCAGCAGCCGCGGUAAUACGUAGGGUGCGAGCGUUGUCCGGAAUUACUGGGCGUAAAGAGCUCGUAGGCGGUUUGUCGCGUCGUCCGUGAAAACUUGGGGCUCAACCCCAAGCUUGCGGGCGAUACGGGCAGACUUGAGUACUGCAGGGGAGACUGGAAUUCCUGGUGUAGCGGUGAAAUGCGCAGAUAUCAGGAGGAACACCG
rnacentral:rRNA from 1 species